CCUACGGGAGGCAGCAGGAGGGAAUGUUGCGCAAUGGGCGAAAGCCGGACGCAGCAACGCCGCGUGAACGAGACGGCCGUCGGGGUGUAAAGGUCUGUAAGGGGGGACGAAAGAUGACGGUACACACAGAGGAAGCACCGGCUAACUCCGGGCCAGCAGCCGCGGUAAUACGGAGGGUGCAAGCGUUGUCCGGAAUGAUUGGGCGUAAAGAGUUCGUCGGCGGGAUGUUAAGUCUGGUUUUAAAUGCAGAAGCUCAACUUCUGUUCGGCACUGGAUACUGGCAAACUAGAAGGCGGUAGAGGUAACGGGACUUCCUGGUGUAGCGGUUAUAUGCUUCGCUCUCAGGCGGAACAUCGGUGGCGUACGCGCUUUACUGGGCCGUACUUGCCGCUGAGGUAC
rnacentral:rRNA from 1 species